rnacentral:lncRNA from 1 species
UUAUUUAAAAACUUAAGAAUUACUAAGUGGUUUUCCCAUUGAUUCAAAGCUUGUCACUUUGCCUAUAUACAAACGUAAACCUAAUGAAAAGUCUAUACAAUAAGAUGAAUCACCAAAAUAUAAAAUAAGAAAACAACUAAAUACAACAUAUAUGAUUAUAUCUUCCAAUAGUGUGAAUUUGUCUCUUUUAACUUAUGACCAAAUCAAAACUAAUCCUCAAAUAUAAAUUAGA